GCAGGGCCUUGGCUCAGUGGUAGACUAUUUGCCUUGCAUGCAGAAGGUCUCAGGUUCAAUCCCUGGUAUCUGCA